GUCUAAAAGCUACAGCUUCUGGGAGCAAGUAGGCUUGUGGCAGUCAAGCACAGCCUUAGCUUGUUUGCAUUAGCAGCCAUCAGCUGUGAGGUGAUGGCUUAAGGAAAUGGAUAGGUACUGAGACCAGGGUUAUAAAGAAGCAUAUGGUGCUUUGCAGCUAUGGGUAUGUCCUGUAUUUCUCUUCUUUCUUGCUUAGUUCUGCUCAGCUAUUCAAGCAGCUGUCCCCUGCCUCAGUUUCCCUGUGUUACACAGAUUAUCUGUUGUUGUGUUGGGGCACUGAGACCUUCCAGAAGCGUCUGUGAUUCUUCAUAGCAUGCACUCAAAGGCAACUGUCCAGGAAAGGCUCCACAGUCUGCAGCAGCACAGGGGGAGAAAGUCUGGUGGUGAUGGAAUGGACCACAAGAAAACACAACCACCACAGUGCUCAGCACCAGGCUGGCACCUAUGCUCGGUGCCAGACCUCUGGCCAGCACAGGGCUUUGGCUUUAUUGGCUUUUCCAGCCCAUGCAUGGCUCAUCUCGCCAUUACUGAUCUGCCUGCAGGAACAAGGACGUGUCACCAGCACAGCAGCUCUGACUCAGGUCCGUGGGGAGCGAAGUGAUGCUCAUGCUCCCCGUAGCAGCUCCUCCAGCCUGCUCGCUCCAAUAAUAGCCUCCGUGUGUGAAAUUUCACCUGACCUGAACUUUCCUGAGUUUAUCCAGCCUUCACCCUGACAGUUCAGAGCAGAACUGUUUUUGUGCCUCGCAACCCAGACACCAAAUUGGAGCUGAAGUGACGUUUAUUGUUUCAACAGUGUUAUUAUAUGAAGAUUGAGCUCAUUACAAACAUGACCUGUUUUUGAGCCAGGACACAUAUUAAUUUGGAUAAAAUACCAGCUGUGUCCUCUCUCCAUAUGGCCUUAUCGGAAAACAAACUGGGUUAAGUUUCAUUCCAAAGAAUGAAAAUAUAAUUGAAUACUUGCCUCGUUUGAGGAAACUCAAAUAAUCAUUAUCGUCACGUCUCCGCUAAUCGCAGCAGAGAGGGGGCAGAGGUGUUUAUUUCUGUGUGCAUCUAAAAAUAAACCAAGGCACAAUUCCUGUGGGGGGAAACAGAGGGCAGCACGGGGCAGACUUUCCUCCAGCUCUGGGAGAAGAAGGUCGUCCCCCAACCUAUGGACCAGAGGUGCAUAUUGAGGUUUUGCUGUGUUUUUGUGGUGAUUUUUGCAUUUGUUUUGUGGUAUUCUUUUUUUUUCCCCCAGAGGAGACAGGGGUUAUCUCUGAAAAGGCAUAGAUGUGGAUAUGUGGAGGUCUUUUCUCCUCCCCAUCAGCACUCUCAGUGUUGUAAUUAAGGGUUGGGGGCAAGCGCUGCAUCCCACCACUGCAUGUUGGCCUCAGACAUCCCCAUCAACAACCCAGACAGACAAACUUAGGAAUAGGGGAUGCUGCCUUCCCCUCAUCAUUGUGAAUCUGCAUGGCAUUAACACAGAACAUGGAACAGCACUUAGUGCUCCUGGCCCUGGGUGACUUCUGACCUCAGCUGCACUUGCACCUUAAAAAUGAAAUAUAGCACAUGGAUGGGGAAAGGAGCCCAAGCUGCCAUCGACAGUGUCCCACUGAAAGACUUUAUGGGUGUUUGCUCUGGAGCAGGGGAGAGCUGUGCAAGGAAACUCUCAGAGGGUUUAUUUUCCAUAGAAUCACUUGAGUUGGAAGGUUCCUUUGAAGGUCAUCUGG
ensembl:lncRNA